UCUAUUUGGGUGACUUCUGCAUUUGACUGAAGGAGAAAUGGCUGGAUCCACUGGCUGAGGAUGUUUUGGCAAUAUUGGGAACAGCUUGUCACGAGAAUUAAAUAUUAUUGAAUCUGGUUGACCAGGGCCUGAUUCUGCACUGUGUGCCUUGUCUACUUCUGUGAGACUGUCUGUGGAAUAGGCACAUGAAACUCCAUGCAGAUCUGUAAAGACAGCUAGUCAGACAUACAGAGGAAUACAAAUAAAUUGUCCCCUGAAGAAGAAGAGCAACAGGCAUACAC
rnacentral:lncRNA from 1 species